UACGUAGGGAGCGAGCGUUGUCCGGAUUUACUGGGUGUAAAGGGAGCGUAGACGGCAGCGCAAGUCUGGAGUGAAAUGCCGGGGCCCAACCCCGGAACUGCUUUGGAAACUGUGCGGCUCGAGUGCGGGAGAGGUAGGCGGAAUUCCUAGUGUAGCGGUGAAAUGCGUAGAUAUUAGGAGGAACACCAGUGGCGAAGGCGGCUUACUGGACCGUAACUGACGUUGAGGCUCGAAAGCGUGGGGAGCAA
rnacentral:rRNA from 1 species